GGACAUCGACAGUGUACAGACAAAAAAUCUGGGCGACUUCAUUGUCCUUGAACUGAAGAAAUUCCAAAUGUUGAAAGUUGGAUGGUUAACCAGCAAGGAAAAUAUCAAACAGACCCUGAAGAGAUAACAUGGC